rnacentral:tRNA from 1 species
AGUUAGCGUAGCAGAGCCCGGUACUGCAAAAGAUCUAAGCCCUUUUUACAGAGAUUCAAAUCCUCUCGUUAACU